CGAAAUCGGUAGACGCUACGGACUUAAAUCCGUCGACUUUAUAAAUCG
rnacentral:tRNA from 2 species